GCCCUUGUAGCUAAGCGGAAGAGCCACUCCCUUAGUAAGGGAGUGGCCUAGGGUUCAAGUCCCGAAGAGGAAA
rnacentral:tRNA from 1 species